AUAAUGGGUCAGCGACUUAUAUUCUGUAGCAAGGUUAACCGAAUAGGGGAGCCGAAGGGAAACCGAGUCUUAACUGGGCGUUAAGUUGCAGGGUAUAGACCCGAAACCCGGUGAUCUAGCCAUGGGCAGGUUGAAGGUUGGGUAACACUAACUGGAGGACCGAACCGACUAAUGUUGAAAAAUUAGCGGAUGACUUGUGGCUGGGGGUGAAAGGCCAAUCAAACCGGGAGAUAGCUGGUUCUCCCCGAAAGCUAUUUAGGUAGCGCCUCGUGAAUUCAUCUCCGGGGGUAGAGCACUGUUUCGGCAAGGGGGUCAUCCCGACUUACCAACCCGAUGCAAACUGCGAAUACCGGAGAAUGUUAUCACGGGAGACACACGGCGGGUGCUAACGUCCGUCGUGAAGAGGGAAACAACCCAGACCGCCAGCUAAGGUCCCAAAGUCAUGGUUAAGUGGGAAACGAUGUGGGAAGGCCCAGACAGCCAGGAUGUUGGCUUAGAAGCAGCCAUCAUUUAAAGAAAGCGUAAUAGCUCACUGGUCGAGUCGGCCUGCGCGGAAGAUGUAACGGGGCUAAACCAUGCACCGAAGCUGCGGCAGCGACGCUGAUGCGUUGUUGGGUAGGGGAGCGUUCUGUAAGCCUGUGAAGGUGUGCUGUGAGGCAUGCUGGAGGUAUCAGAAGUGCGAAUGCUGACAUAAGUAACGAUAAAGCGGGUGAAAAGCCCGCUCGCCGGAAGACCAAGGGUUCCUGUCCAACGUUAAUCGGGGCAGGGUGAGUCGACCCCUAAGGCGAGGCCGAAAGGCGUAGUCGAUGGGAAACAGGUUAAUAUUCCUGUACUUGGUGUUACUGCGAAGGGGGGACGGAGAAGGCUAUGUUGGCCGGGCGACGGUUGUCCCGGUUUAAGCGUGUAGGCUGGUUUUCCAGGCAAAUCCGGAAAACUAAGGCUGAGGCGUGAUGACGAGGCACUACGGUGCUGAAGCAACAAAUGCCCUGCUUCCAGGAAAAGCCUCUAAGCAUCAGGUAACAUCAAAUCGUACCCCAAACCGACACAGGUGGUCAGGUAGAGAAUACCAAGGCGCUUGAGAGAACUCGGGUGAAGGAACUAGGCAAAAUGGUGCCGUAACUUCGGGAGAAGGCACGCUGAUAUGUAGGUGAAGUCCCUCGCGGAUGGAGCUGAAAUCAGUCGAAGAUACCAGCUGGCUGCAACUGUUUAUUAAAAACACAGCACUGUGCAAACACGAAAGUGGACGUAUACGGUGUGACGCCUGCCCGGUGCCGGAAGGUUAAUUGAUGGGGUCAGCGCAAGCGAAGCUCUUGAUCGAAGCCCCGGUAAACGGCGGCCGUAACUAUAACGGUCCUAAGGUAGCGAAAUUCCUUGUCGGGUAAGUUCCGACCUGCACG
rnacentral:rRNA from 1 species